rnacentral:rRNA from 1 species
AUGGCGGCGCAGGAGGAGGAGAAGGCUGCGGGCAGGCGCGCGGGGCCGCACCCGCUGCUGCGCGGGCGGAGGCGGGACGGCAAGUACACGCACGGGCUGCACCCGGCGCAGAUGGAGGCGCUCCGCGCCAUGUGCGGCGCCUUCAUCCCCUCGCUGCCGGCCGAGGAGGCGGGCGCCGGCGGCCGCGCCGACCCGCCCGGCGCCAAGGACCUCGAGCGCUUCUACCUCGCCUCCGCCGCCGACUCCAACAUCCCCGACGAGGUUGCGGAGCUGAUGGUGACGCGGUGCAUACGGGAGGCGGCGCUGCUGGCGUGGGUGGUGCUGUGGGUGCUGAGCACGAGGGUGGGCACGCUGCUGCUGUGCGGCCGGCUGAGCCUCUGCGGCGCCGCCGGCGAGCUGCGCCGGUUCGCGGACAUGCCGGCGGAGCGGCAGGAGGCGGCGCUGCAGCGAUGGAACAGGACGCGCUGGCUCUUCCCGCUCAGGAUCGUCUUCGCCCUCGUCAAGAUCCUCUCCCACUAUGUCUUCUACACCAUGCCCGACGUGCAGGUCGACGAGAACUCAGAGAAUCCACACUGGAAAGCGAUUGGAUACAGCGUGGAAGAGUGGCAGAGAGACCGAGAUGAAGCGCCCGCCACAUCGCGGCCGCUGGACAAUGGCGUCGUCGAAACCAGAGCGCUGAACGACACCACCCUGCUCAGGUCACUCGCGGACAGGUGGCUCCCCGUGAAGCCGGGCGCGCAGCACACGGUGCAGUGCGAUGCCGUCAUCGUCGGGUCCGGCUGCGGCGGGGGCGUUGCAGCCGCGAUGCUCGCAUCCGCGGGGUACAAGGUGGUCGUCGUUGAGAAGGGCGACUACUUCGCCGCCGACGACUACAGCUCCGUCGAGGGUCCGUCCAUGGAGCGCCUCUUCGAGAAGGGCGGCAUCUUCUGCACGUCCAACGUAACGACCAUGGUGUUCACCGGCUCCACUGUCGGCGGCGGCUCCGCGGUGAACUGGUCGGCCUGCAUCCGCACGCCGGGGGAGGUCUUGCAGGAGUGGUCCCGCGACCACGGGCUCCCGUUGUUCGCGGGCCAGGACUACCAGCAGGCCAUGAACUCGGUGUGUGACCGGCUCGGCGUCACCGACGAGUGCCUGAAGGAAGGGUUCCAGAACAAGGUGCUGCGCCGAGGGUGCGAGGCGCUAGGGCUGCCUGUCGACGCCGUGCCACGUAACUCGUCGGCGGUACACUACUGCGGGAGCUGCAACUUCGGCUGCCCCACCGGCGACAAGCGCGGCACCGACACGACGUGGCUCGUCGACGCCGUCUUGCACGGCGCGGUGAUCCUGACCGGGUGCAAGGCCGAGCGCUUCAUCCUCCAGAGCAACAGCGGCAAGAACGGCCGGAGCAAGAAAUGCGUCGGCCUGUUGGCGACGUGCAUGAGCAACGGCAUCACCAAGAAGCUGCGCAUCGAGGCGAAGGUGUCCAUCUCGGCUUGCGGGGCACUCAUGACGCCUCCGCUGCUGCGCAACAGCGGGCUGAAGAACCGGCACAUCGGCCGGAACCUGCACCUCCACCCGGUGUCCAUGGCGUGGGGCUACUUCCCGGAGAACAAGCAGGCGGUGCCCAUCACCGGCAAGUCCUACGAGGGCGGCAUCAUCACGAGCAUGCACCGCGUCACACCGCGCACCAUCAUCGAGACGCCGGCGCUAGGGCCGGGGGCCUUCGCCGCCAUGGUGCCGUGGGAGUCGGGCCGCGACAUGAAGGAGCGCAUGAGCCGGUACGCGCGCACGGCGCACGCGUUCGCCCUCGUCCGCGACCGCGGCUCGGGGUUCGUAGACUGCGAGGGCCGCCUUCGCUUCACCCCCAGCCGCGACGACGCCCGCGAGCUCCGCAACGGCCUGCGCCACGUGCUGCGCAUCCUGGUGGCCGCCGGUGCGGCGGAGGUGGGCACGCACCGCAGCGACGGGCUCCGGCUGCGGUGCAAGGGCGUGCGCGACGAGGACCUGGAGGCGUUCCUGGACGAGGUGACCAUCGAGAAGGGGCCCAUGCACUCGACGGCGGACAAAUGGGCGGUCUUCUCCUCGGCCCAUCAGAUGGGCAGCUGCCGCAUGGGCUCCAGCCCCAAGGACAGCGCCGUCGACGGCAGCGGCGAGAGCUGGGAGGCCGAGGGCCUGUACGUCUGCGACGGCAGCCUCCUCCCCACCGCGGUCGGCGUCAACCCAAUGAUCACCAUUCAGUCCGUCGCCUACUGCCUCUCCAAGGGCAUCGCCGAGUCCAUGACCAACGGCCAGAAGCACUACUAG